CCUUCCCGGGACCGGGACCCCCCACCGCGCCCCGGGCGCCCCACUGCACCCGAAGAUUCCGCUCUGCCUCCCGCGUGCUAGUUCGCCCGAGCGUUGACUUUUCGGGUGCCCCCUUCCCGGCCUCCGAGAGACUUUCUGCAGCUCCCCAGCCCCCCGCACCCAGAUGUGGCUACUUUGGUCGGAACCAGGGUGGGGGCAGCAGAGGGGGGCGCGGUAUAAAGAGCCCGAGGCGGCGCGGGCGGGGACCUGGGACGUGGCGCUCCGGCUCUGUCCACUCCAACUCCAGUCACGUCUCUAAAGUGCCAUCUCAGACGACAGGAACAGGGAUGGGACCAGAGAGAACGUCACUUAGAAGAGAUCAAGCUGCCUCUGAGGAUCAAGGGAAACCUGCAUAUCUGUGAUGUUUAAGACAUGAUAGGAUUGCAUUAGAAUUAUGGCCUCUUGACAUUUAAAUCUUAACUGGGUUUUCCUACAAAUGAGCCAAGAGACACACUAUAAUCAUUCUCCAUGGGGGUUCCCUUUUUACCCAUGAUUUCCCUCUGAGAUUUGAGGCAUUUUAGAACUGAAAAAAUGGUGAGAUCAUCUGAUCAACCCCAUCAAUUUAUUCUUUUAACAUAGCUGUCUUACUUCCUAGGGCUACUGUAACAAAGUACCCACAAACUAGGGGGCUUAAAGCAAGAGAAAUGUACCAUCUCCCAGUUCUGGAGGUUCAGAAUCCGAAAUCCAGGUGUCAGCAAGGCCACGCUCUCUCCUAAGGCUGUGGGGAAAAAUGUGAUCUGCCUCUCGCCUGGCAUCUGGCAGUGGCCAACAGUGCCUGAUAUCCCUUGGCUUGUGGCAGCGUAACUCCAAUCUGUGCCUCCAUCCUCAUAUGACAUCUCCCUAUCUCCUGUGGGUCCAAAGUGUCCUCUUCUUAUAGAGGUACCAGUCAUAUUGGAUUAGGCCCCCUCCUAAUGUAGUUUGGCCUCUUUAAUCAUACAUCUCCAAGGCCGUUACCUCCACAUAUAGCCCAUUCAUGGGACCACAGGUUAGGACUCAAGCAUGUCUUUUUGGGGUAACGGUUCAGCCCAUAACAGUGGCCAAAGCUGUGAAGUCAUCUGUCUCACCACAAUUGGCUAGCUCAUGUAUUUUGAGUGAUUGAAAGACCCAUGAUUAUGGCUACAGGUGAUACUGUGAAGUUCACCAAAGUUUCUGCAAAUGAAGGCUCUCAAGUUUUGAGAGUUCAGGGAACUAUCAACCCCUACUCAAGUCCCUUGAGUUUCACCAAACCUCUUUAGAAUUACUUACACCGUCUUUGGAGUGGCAGCUCAGUCCCUCGCCAGCAUUCAGCAGGCCAUUUUGUUUCAAAAAGAGCAGCUCAGAAAUGAAGAGCAGAAAGAAAAUAGUUCUUUCAAAUAUGGGAGUGAGCGUAAAUGGGCAUUGUGCAGAGUACAGAUUUCUGGCCCUCAACCUGCCAGGCACCUGCCCGCCCACCCCCUGCCAGCCUGGGCCCCAGAGACCCCAUUGCAUUCCCCCUCUCUGACCAGCCAGAGUCUGAGUUUUGACCCAGGGCCAUGCACAGCCUUCUCUUACGGUUCCACCAUCUGGGGUGAGGCCUGUGCUUCGCCACUGCCAGUUUUCCGUGGGUUUAACACAAACACCUGACUCUCACCUGCCCGGAUUAACAGCCUUGUGCACCUCUGGAGUGCUCUUGAGCUCAUCCCACAGGUGAGAACCACAGCCUUCCACCUGUGGCCAUCCACCUCCAGGGGGUCCCAGCAGGAACUCAGUGACACAACAAGCAGAGCAUUUGUUCAACAGGAAGUGAUCACUUUCAGUGAUGCAGAAAGCAUGUCCUUUUUAGUAGUUAUUUUUUUUCUUGGGAGAGUUUAUUCAUCUAACUUUUAGUUAGGGCCUAUUAUUAAAUAACAUUGUAUUUUACUUCAGCUGGGUAUCCAGAAGACCAAUGUAUUCUAGAAAUCUGGAAGUAUUUGCCUAGUCUUUAUAGUUAAAUUUCUAGAUAUAUUUUUUUAGCAACCUAACUUCUUUAAAAUAAAAUCAGUAUGCCGGAAAUAGCCCGUCUUCACAUGAGAGUAAUAUGGGGAGAGGAAAAAAUGCUAAGUUUAAAAGAGUUUUAGAAUACCUAGAGGAAAUGCAGAUGGUUUGUGGCACAGAGAUAAAGCAUCCUUAUGGUUUACUGAAUGUUGUUUUCUGACAUUGAGCCUUGUAUACAGUUUGAGUAUCUAUAAGCAAAAGAUGGCUGUACUUUUUAAAACAGUAUGUUUGAUAGUUAUUAAUGUCCUGUGUUGCUCUAUCUUUGGAAAUAGAGCUUUGGGGAGAAAAUAAGUAUCUUUGGAAAUAUGUUUUCCAAAACAAUAGUCAUCCUAUAUGGAUCUAGAAGCACAAAUUACUCUGCUUUAGUUUAUUUCAUCAUUUACUGGGGAAAUUAACUUGUAAUGAGCUUGAGUUCAAUUAAAAGAAUAUCCAGCAAGUGAAAUUAAACCAAUAAGCAAAGUGUCUCCUGAAGCAAAUAAGUAGAAAGACGAGCUGUCACAGAUCAUGUGACCUCCCUGACAAGCCUCAUUUCUGUCCCUCCUCAUUCCCACUCUUACCACCUUAAUGUGGAAUGUCAGCUUCUGUCACCCACAAUCCCAAACCUCCAGCUUCCUGUCUUCCUGCCACCCCCAGGCCAUCGAUAGCACUAUGCAGUGAUCAUUCUGGAAGCAGCCCCACCCCACCUAUCCUUAAUAACACAGACCUGAAUUUACUUGAA